UUCUUGCCAUUUGCGACGGUGUAAAACCUACCGCCGCAAAAAGUGAAAUUUUUUUUGCCCCCUUCCCUAUUCAUCUUGCCGCUCGAUCAAAAACGUAAUCCAAAUCCCUAAAAGUUUCAAACCAAUUUCUUUGCCCUAAAUCCCUACGAAGCCGAACGGCGAACGGUGGUGCGGUGGUGCGGUGCUGCUGCGGCGAGGACGACAGAUAUUUCCUGAGUAGCAGUUUGCUUCGCGUGGAAUGUGGGCACGUAAAGAUUAUGACCAACUUCUGUUUUUGUAACUCAUGAAUGAAUCAAGACGAAAACUUUUGGUUUUGAUUUUGAUUUAUAUUAUUUAAAUUUGUGACCAACAUUAUGUAUGUAUUAUGUGACCAACAUUAGGAAUUUUUAUCAUUUGCCAACUUUUGUUUAUGUAUGGAUUUAUAUUAUUAUGUCAUUUCUUGAUUUUUUUUAAGCUAUUUUUCAUUUGCCAACA